rnacentral:lncRNA from 1 species
UCUACAUUGCAGGAAUUUCCCCUUGUUUUUAAAGGCAGCUUCCAUUGUCACAGCAAGUUUGAAUACUGCAUUUCCCUCCUUUCCUUUUUUUUUUUUUUUUUGAGACGGAGUUUCGCUGUCUCCCAGGCGGGAGUGCAGGGCCGCGACCUCGGCUCACUGCAGGCCCCGCCCCCCGGGGUUCACGCCAUUCUCCUGCCUCAGCUUCCGGAGUAGCUGGGACUACAGGCGCCCGCCACCUCGCCCGGCUAAUUUUUUGUAUUUUUAGUAGAGACGGGGUUUCACUGUGUUAUCCAGGAUGGUCUCCAUCUCCUGACCUCGUGAUCCGCCCGCCUCGGCCUCCCAAAGUGCUGGGAUUACAGGCGUGAGCCACCGCGCCCGGCCCCUCCUUUACUUCUUGGCACCUUUAGAAGAUUCUGACUGCUGUUCACUUAAGUGGGAACAGCACUGCGUGCACAAUGCUCACUGUGCAUCUGCCCGUGUUCCGAGUCGCAUCCAAUAUGACUUCCUGGCAGCGGGCUGGCGUCUGCGUAUUGUUACUGCGGUGGUUGUCUACCUGAGCCUUGUCUACUGUGAGCCGGAACACCUACCUCCCCCUCUGGAGAGCAGGAAUUGGAGAGGGAAGAGAGAAGCCCCUCCCAUUCGCUUCUACUGGGGCUUGUUAAGCCAUCGCCUUGGGGGCCGGCUGAUCAGCGGCAGCCAGCAGCCGGCGGCUUCGGCAGGCAGGAACAAGGACAGCCUGUGGCUACUGCAGCCCCACUGCCCGGCCAUGCUUCAUGAUGGGGGAGAGUGCCUUGGGAGGAAUAUACAGGCAAAUCAUGACUCCCAGAGGCCCAUGGACUGGAGCUAUUAACGUCCUGCAGAUGGGAGCCACUCUCUCACUGUGAUCAUCAAG